AUCCAAGGUGAUUCCCUCUCCAGGGGGCUUAUUUAGUGCCCUCAGAAGGAAAGUAGCAACUUGGAAUAAAAUCUGGCAUGCCUGAGGUCUUUGGGGGAGAGGGGAUGUUUAUUUCCUUUGCCUUCCUUUGGCUGCCUACAUGU